GGGUUAGUUGGUUGGUCAUGCCUCUGGUAUGCACUGGUCUCACUGAUUCCUCCUUCCUGAUGAGCCGUAAUGCCAUUAAUUUGGUGUUGCGGGGAAUUUGGACUGUUACUUUGAAAAAAUUAGAGUGUUUAAAGCAAGCUAACGCUUGAAUACAUCAGCAUGGAAUAAUGGAAUAGGACGUUUGAUUCUAUUUUGUUGGUUUCUAGAAUCGACGUA
rnacentral:rRNA from 1 species